UUACGGCCACAUCACGUUGAAAACACCGAUUCCCGUAAGAUCACAAACGUUAAGCAAUAUCGAGCCUGGUUAGUACUUAGAUGGGUGACCGCUUGGUAAUACCAGGUGCUGUAA